UAUGUCCUGUGAGCUUAGGGGUGCUACAGGUUGACCACUGCAGCAGUAAAGAUGACUCUGAAGAAUGGCAUGGGAUGGAUCCUUUCGAAUGCACUUGAGCAGCGGUCUCCAACCACAGGGCCACAGAGCUGGAGGUGAGCAGCAGCUGGAUCUACCAUGAACGACUUCUGAAUCCAGGAAGAGAGACUGACUGGGCAACAUGUUAUUCAGGGUCUCCCUCUGUUGUCCAAGGCUGGAGUGUAGUAGUGCUAUCACAGCUGACUG
rnacentral:lncRNA from 1 species